rnacentral:lncRNA from 10 species
UUUGACCCAGCCAUCCCAUUACUGGGUAUAUACCCAAAGGACUAUAAAUCAUGCUGCUAUAAAGACACAUGCACACGUAUGUUUAUUGCGGAAAUACAUUUUUUAAAAACGCAGUAUAGAUUACAUGUGAUUCUAAAUCUGUGCAGCACAUUCUUUGAUAGCAGAAGCAAAGAUGAUGCCAUGUAUUGAAAAGUAAUAAGACCAUUGAACAAGGUAUCUGAAAAUAAUUGCAAAGAAAUAAAAGGUUAACAGAGGUAUCCAACCCUUGUUUCUCUUGGGUUUGUCUUACUAAUUUAAGCAACUGUUUUGAUGCCUUGAUCAGAGAUAAAUGAAAUCACAUUGCUUAAAAUAGAAGUGAUUUAUUGCCCAGCAGUGUCUUGACAUAAAAGGAUUCAGCCAUUAUUUCAUAUAUGUUGGAUGAGAAAAACAAGAAAAAAAAGUAUAGAAUCAUGCAGUUUGUAUGCAUUUUAGACUCUUUCAAGAAAAUAAAGCAGCAGUCUGACUUAAGCAGUAUAAGAACAUUUACUUACAUUUAUUUUAAUGACAAUUUUAAUAAAUAUUGUGAACCUUAUUCUUAGGCUGCAUAUUUUGCUUUUUAAUAUUUUAGAACUUUUAUUGUAGUCUGAGACCAGCAGGUACCGAGAAGAGAUGGAGAACAUUAACAUUUUUCUCUUGGCUUUGCCAUCAUACCCUACGAAAAAUGGCUGCUGUAUGAAAGGAAGAUAAUUCACUUUAGACUGGAAGCUCCCACAGGAAAACAUCUCAGCCACUUCAACCUUCAGCAACAACCACCCUGAUAAGUCAGCUACCAUCCACAUUAAGAAAAUUUACAGAAGUUCAAUCAAGAAACCAGCUGUUGAUGGCCCCAGGAGCACCAAGAGGGCUCUAUUAUCAUGACAAGAAGGCAUUUGUGCUGGGAGGACUCCUAGUAAAAGCUCUGUACUAGGCAUCUAAUCAUGCACACCCAUCCUGAACAGCAGAACUUGGUCAACAUGUAACCAUGUGGAUCUUUUCUUAUUGUCCCGGCUAUUUCCCUUUAUAUGUUUCCGUCUCCCCAUAAGCCAUAUUUCUUUUAAAUGAAAUAUGAGUGUUUCCUCAGCAAACUGAAUCUUUUGUUCCCCAAAGACUUAAGCUCUACCAAGGACCACCUCUGGUCACUUUCUUGAUGUCAGUCACACAUGUUUGUGUGUUUGCUGUAGUAACUGACCACACUAAAAAUUCUACAUUUUCUCUUGCCAUUCUAGCUUGUUUAAAAACUAUUUCAGUCUUUGAGGUUAAAAAAAAUUUAAUUGUGCUUCUGAUUUCUUCUUCAAAUUUACAUGAUACCUUUUAAGGAUUUUCCCAUAUAGCUUCUGUCAAGUCCAAAAGCACCUGUAAUAAAGGAAGAAAAAAAACACCCAGUGAGAACUGAAAGGAAGAAAAACCCCAUCCAAUAUCCCAAGGUCCUGGAAGAGGAUCUCCCACUGCAGCAAACAACCAGGCUGCUGCUCUUCAAGCCUUUACACCAGAUCAGUUGUCCCAGAUGUCCCCAGUGCCUAGAAUUAAACACACACACAUUUGGUCAUUCACCUAGUCAUUUACAGUGACUCAGGAAAAGCUAGUCAAAACAGGAUAGAAACUGAGGCCCAGAGAUAAAUCAGUAUACUUGAUUCAAGGUUGCACAGUGAAAAGAAAGGAUACAGCCAAGACCAGAGUUGACAUUUCAUACCUACGUGCAGCUCUUUCAAGGCUCUGAUGGUUUUCAAAUAGUUUUCCCAAUAAUCAUUAUUCGGUUAUAUUAUUGUCUUCACUAUAAGCAUGUUUUCUGGAGACUGGAAGCUUCGAACACUGUUGACUAAUACUUUACAGGUGAUACUAGCUCUUGCCCUUCUUUAUUCAGCUUUUCAUAAUUUGACUUUUCCAGGUAUGGGGACAUAAUUGUGUAUGAGCCUAGAUACACACAAAAAAACCUGCUUUCUCAUUGGAAAAUGGCCAGCCUUUAUUUCGUGGGUGUGGGGAGGGAAAUAGGAGUGUUCCGGCUCAUGCUGGAAAAAUUGAGCAUGUAGGCAAGAGAACGUGCAACCACUUACAGAAAUCAAUCAGGUCACAAGCAUGUUGUAUAAAAUAUAAGCAUUUAAUCACAAAUUCGCACUACUAAAAACAAAAUAAGACGACAUUACCUAGCCCAUUUUAUACUAUCUGGUGUAUACGUGCAAAAUUGCAUUGUUAAUACUGCAUGGGAGUCAAUUAUUCUAUUGGAGCUGUGUUGUGACAAAAAAGGAGAAAACUAUAGAUUAGGAGACAAAGGAAUUACAUGUUAUAACUUAUUGGCCAUAGGACUUUGGGCAAGAUGUUCCACCCUCUGAGUGUCAAUUUUCUCAUCUCUAAAAUGGGGAAAACAAAAUUUGCCUUCCAGCCUUCCAGGGUUUUUGUCAUCAUUAAGUGAAACAGAGCAUAUGAAAAGGCUUUGUAAACUCUGAAGCACCAUACAAAUGAAGUGUGUCAAUUACUCUAACGCUCAGUGCAUUAUACUACCCUCUGCUUCAGUCUUUCCUUAAGCACUCCAAGGCAUUUUCAAUUGCCUUUCAAAAGAAUAUUACAGGCCGGGUGCGGUGGCUCAUGCCUGUAAUCCCAGGACUUUGGGAGGCCAAGGUGGGUGGAUUGCUUGAGCCCAGGAGUUCAAGACCAGCCUGGGCAAUAUGGCAAAACUUCAUCACUAAUCUUUUGAAAUACAAUACAAUAAGAAUGUUACAGACUUAGGUUAAAAGCAGAGAGUAAAGUAACAACUAGCAAUGAACAUUCCAGGUAAGUAUUUGAGAAUGUUAAGGAAACGAUAUCCUUGCCACUGUGCAUGCAUCUCUUAGAGAGAUGUUAAGCUCAAGUUCUGAUGUUGGUGUCCCAUGGGGAUCACUGAGUAAGCACACACUGUUGUGGAGAAGGAAGCAGCCUCUCCUAAAGGGAGAGGGUCUGUCAGAUAUCAAUCAUCGUGGGACAGGAAAUGGGAAUAUUUUCCUCUCUCAGGCACACUCUCUUGCAUCUGGGUUGUGAAGAGUCUAACCAAGCCCAUAGCUGGGGGGAAGGGCACACGGUUAUGCAGGGAGGCAGCAUAAAUGGGUGUGUAGUGAAGAAUUAACCUUAUCAAAGAAAGGGGUGGCCUUUGCCCUCAGCUCCUGGGAGGUGAUCUUGAAGUCCUUGGACUGUCCUGCCCAAUAGGAGUGCUUUUGUUCACCCGGAGGCCCAGGGAUACACCGGAUAGUGUAACCAAGUGAUUUAUGGUGGGGGGUUUGGGCCAUAUGGUAUCAUCUCCACCUCUGGAAGGGGAAAGACUAAAGGUCAAUCAUGUCUACAUGAUGGGAGUCAAUCAUGUCUAUAUGACUGAGCCCCCCAUAAACUGUAACCAUGAGAAUGCCCAUUCAGUGAGUUCAGUGACUCCUUGUAGCAAAAUGUUGAUCCUGAGGGUCGUCUUGGUGAUCUUUCAACUUGUAGCUGAUGUCAGAAGUCAGGGUGGUCUUGGGAAUUCCCAGACUUUAUAAAGAGGACCCAUGAAGAUGGGGCACAGUCUGUGGCCUCUGAGAACAGCUUUAUCAAGGAGCUCUGUCUAUGCUCCUCUUUGCCAAAUACUCUUGGCCAUCUCCAGACUGUAGCAAAGUCUUAUUAAAUGCCCAUUUUAAUCUUAGCUGUGCAGUGGCUAGCCUUCCACCAAGGUGUGAAAGAGAGAACCAGCAUGGAGCAGAUAGUAAGUUAGGGAAUAAGAGCUGGGGCUAUGAGGCCAGACACCCCUGCCAGAUUCUGUCUUCAUUGCCUUGGAGGAUCAGGGAGCUGUUUUAAUGAGGGAGCAGUCAGGAUUCCCUAUAAACUCCUAUAUACACCCAUCCCUGGAGCAGGGCUUUCAAAUGCUUGGUUUAAUUUAAUUCACAAAACGAGCCAGUACAUGCUUAUUACUCCCAUUUCACAAAUGAACGAAUCAAGGGUAAGUGAGGGUAAGUGACUGGCCCAGUGCUAUAUCUCAGGGUCUUUUGUGUCUAGUUCAAGGCUCUUUCAGAUACCAUGACGACAACUAUUCCAUCAUUUAAAGCACCUGUAAGCUUUAUCAUCCAUAACAUGCCUGACUCUGUCCUUUGUGAAGAACUUUUUCUGUGCAACAACUUUAAAGGGAUGUUAAAUGCAGAAUUAUUCCUGAGUGAGAACAAACCAAGAAGAUCCAGAAUUUCCAAUGAAGAUCCUAGGUUCCUAACACUCAGUCCCUUGGGUCUCAUUGAGCCAGAAAGCAGAGACAUUUACAUGUGACCAGUACAGUGAUGCCGUAUCUUCUGGAGUCUUCACAGUGGUCUAAGAUAGAACAAGAUGACUUUUCUUUCACUAGCGCUGGUUGGUAUUUUGCUGAAUAUCAAUUCAUAUAUUCCUUUGAGCUAAAUUAUAAAUGUAAUUAAGACUCCUAAAAAGUCUCCUUUAAUGUUAGAUGAUGUUACCAAUAAGCAUAUUGUGAGUCUCGUAUGUAAAUAAUUUUACUGUGGUUAGAAAUACUCAUCCUAUUGAUAAAAAUGGUAUAGAAUACAGAUAAAAGUUAGGAAUUUGUACAGCGAGCGUGAUAACGACUACACUAUGGAAAUGACUAAGAAUUUGUAUUCACCAGUAAAACAUUUUUAUUUCCAUAGAAAGAGGCAUUCCCACAGGGAUCAGUUCCUAUGACUGGCUCAGAGAACUUGACACUGCUUACAGGAGAAGCAGUGUUUAAGGGGAGCAGUCAGAAGAUCAACUUUGAAAUCUGGCUUUACCCCUUUCCUUCUUUGAAAUUUCAGACAAGAGGGUUAACCUCUCUGUGCCUCCCAGUCUACUCCUCUACAAAACAAGAUUCACAGGAGAGAGUCCACCCAGGAGGAUCAUCCAAUUUAGCAAAUGGGCCAAGUGUGGUGGCUCAUGCCUGUAAUCCCAGCACUUUGGGAGGCUGAGGCAAGAAGAUCACUUGAGGUCAGGAGUUUGAGACCAGCCUGGCCAACAUGGAGAAACCCUGUCUCUACUGAAAAUGCAAAAAUCAGCCAGGCAUGGUGGUGCACAUCUGUAAUCCCAGCUGCUUGGGAGGCUAAGGCAGGAGAAUCACUUGAAUCCAGAAGGCAGAUCUUGCAGUGAGCCGAGAUCGCGCCACUGCACUACAGCCUAGACGACAGAGCGAGACUCUGUCUCAAAAACAAAAACAAAAACAAAACAAAACAAAACAAAACAUUAGCAAAUGAAAAUACACAAAGGUCAGUUAUAUUAAAAUUUAAAAGAAACAAAAAAUAAUCUUUAGUGUACAUCCCAUGUAAUAUCUGUGAUAUGUUUAUACAAAAAAAUGUGUUGCUUAUCUAUCUGAAAUUCAAAUUUAACUGGGAUUUCUGGCACCUACCUCCAAAUAAAUGUACGUGAAAGGAUUUGCUAUCCGUAAGACACUGCACACCUGUAAGUUACUACAUCAUCAAACUCCUGUCUGAAAAUAUGGGUUACAGGCUUGGAAACUGCACUGCAUAAUUAAUGGUAUAUCACAGAAGUUCUUUAAGUAUGGACCAAGCAUUCCUGCCCCCUUUUCAGGAGGCCUAUGAGAUCAAAACUAUAUAUACACAUAUAUAUUUUAAGAGGUGAGUCUCGCUAUGUCAUCCAGAUCAGACUCAAACUCCUGGGCUCAAGCAAUCCUCCUGCCUCAGGCUCCCAAGUAGCUGGGGCUAUAGGCCUGUGCCAUUGUGCCCAGCUGCAAAACUAUUUCCAUAACAAUACAACAACAAUAUUUGCCGUUUUCACUCUAAUUCUCUUUCAAGUGUACAGUGGAGUUUUUCAGAAGCUACAUAAAGUAUGAGAUCAAAACCAACUGAACGUAAAAGCAGACAUGAUAAUCCAGCUAUCUUCUAUUAAGCUGGACAUUAAAGAGAUUUUUUUAUAAAAAUGUAAAAUAGCAUUGCUCUUCUCGCUAAUUUUGAAGGGUUUUGGAAAAUGUAGUUUUUUUUAAUAAAAACACAAUUUAUGUUACCAUGAAAUGUGAUUAUUAUUAAUUUAAAUAAAUUAACAUUCUAUUUUUUCCAGUUUUUAUUUACAUAUUAAAUUUCAUUUAGUAUGGUAAAUAUAAAUAGAUAUAGCCCCUAUCAACAGAAGCUCUUUUGGGUCCUCAAUAAAUUUUAAGAAUGCAAAGGAGUCCUAAUUUCAAAAAGUUGCCCGAACCACUGAUCCACUGUAUUCCUGUUGGUAUCUCUGAUUCCUCACCUGAAAGGGAAGGGGAUCUCAAGUACAGAUACCCUAUAUCAAAAGAGAACAAGGAAGAGCACACAGCUGUGAGCCAAGCUGACAGGGUCCAAUACUAGCUCUAACAUUUAACAGGCGAUGAGGUCCUGUGCAAGUAACAUAACCUUGUUAUGACUCAGUUUCUCAACUGUAACAUGCAGAUGGUGAUAACAAUAGUACCCACCUAUUAGAGUACUUGUGAGAAUUAAGUUAACAGGCAUAGAGCAAGAAUGUAAGCUACGAGCAGGCAGAGAUCCCAAUCUCUUUUGAUCAAUUCCUGGCACAUAGUAGGAACUCAAUAAAUGUUUGUUGAAUAGAUAAAGCCCUUAGGACAGUAGAUAGCCCUGUACAGGUGUUAGGCAUAAUUCUGCUAUUGUGCUUUUUGAUGCAAGUUUUCAAUAGAACACCUUGGCACAAACAGAGAUCCGUGACUGUUUCAGGGACUGACAGGUCAAGGUGCUUCUGGGGACGUGCGUUGGGAGAACUCACCGAGCUCGUUGAGGUAGCCGCCAUGUUUCCAGUCAGCCGGCAAUGUCCCAGUGCAGUCCCCCACAGGGCCUCUCUUCCCAGGGUUCACAUUUUUAAGAUUCACAAACAGUUGAUUGUUUUUUGACUGUUAAAAAUAUAAACAACG